AGUGAACGCUGGCGGUAGGCCUAACACAUGCAAGUCGAACGAGCGGCGGACGGGUGAGGAAUACAUCGGAAUCUACUCUGUCGAGGGGGAUAACGUCGGGAAACUUACGCUAAUACCGCAUACGAUCGAAUGAGCCGAUGUCGGAUUAGCUAGUUGGCGGGGUAAAGGCUCACCAAGGCGACGAUCCGUAGCUGGUCUGAGAGGAUGAUCAGCCACACUGGAACUGAGACACGGUCCAGACGCCUACGGGAGGCAGCAGUGGGGAAUAUUGGACAAUGGGCGCAAGCCUGAUCCAGCCAUGCCGCGUGUGUGAAGAAGGCCUUAGGGUUGUAAUGCCCUUUUGUUGGGAAAGCGUUACCCGAAGAAUAAGCACCGGCUAACUCCGUGCCAGCCGCCGCGGUAAUAC
rnacentral:rRNA from 1 species